UACGAAGGGGGCGAGCGUUGUUCGGAUUUACUGGGCGUAAAGGGCUCGUAGGCGGCCAACUAAGUCGGACGUGAAAUCCCCAGGCUCAACCUGGGAACUGCGUCCGAUACUGGAUGGCUUGAAUUCGGGAGAGGGAUGCAGAAUUCCAGGUGUAGCGGUGAAAUGCGUAGAUAUCUGGAGGAAUACCGGUGGCGAAGGCGGCAUCCUGGACCGACAUUGACGCUGAUGAGCGAAAGCUAGGGGAGCAAACGGG
rnacentral:rRNA from 1 species